GACGAACGCUGGCGGCGUGCUUAACACAUGCAAGUCGAACGGCAACGCCCUGCUUCUGUGUGGUGCUCGGGUGGCGAACGGGUGAGUAACACGUGCGUAACCUGGCCUUUUCUUUUGGAUAACUUCGUGGAACUGGUUAUGAUACCGGCUCAGAGUUCCUGCUGCGGGGAGGGGGUUGGCAAGUUUCGGCGGUUGGGGAUAGACGCCCGGGUUAUCUGCUUGUUGGGGGGGUAUUGGAUUACCACGGGUUUGCGGGGUAGCCGGCCUGAGAGGGUGAACGGCCACAUGGGGACUGAGAGACGGCCCAGAGUCGUACGUGAGGCAGCAGUGGGGAAUAUUGCACAAUGGGCGGAAGCCUGAGGCAGCAACGCCGCGUGCGGGAUGACGGUCUUCGGGUGAUAAACCGCUAUCGCCUGUGACGAAGCGUGAGUGACGGUAAUGGGUAAAGAAGCACCGGCUAACUACGUG
rnacentral:rRNA from 1 species